UUUAUUCCCUCCUCUUAUUGUUUAUUCCCUCCUCUUAUUGUUUAUUCCCUCCUCUUAUUGUUUAUUCCCUGCUCUUAUUGUUUAUUCCCUGCUCUUAUUGUUUAUUCUCUGCUCUUAUUGUUUAUUCCCUGUUCUUAUUGUUUAUUCCCUGUUCAUAUUGUUUAUUCCCUCCUCUUAUUGUUUAUUCCCUGUUCAUAUUACUUAUUCCCUCCUCUGAUUGUUUAUUCUCUGCUCUUAUUGUUUAUUCCCUGUUCUUAUUGUUUAUUCCCUGUUCAUAUUGUUUAUUCCCCCCUCUUAUUGUUUAUUCCCUCCUCUUAUUGUUUAUUCCCUGCUCUUAUUGUUUAUUCCCCCCUCUUAUUGUUUAUUCCCUCCUCUUAUUGUUUAUUCCCUGCUCUUAUUGUUUAUUCCCUGCUCUUAUUGUUUAUUCCCUGCUCUUAUUGUUUAUUCCCUGUUCUUAUUGUUUAUUCCCUGUUCAUAUUGUUUAUUUCCUCCUCUUAUUGUUUAUUCCCUCCUCUUACUGUUUAUUCCCUGCUCUUAUUGUUUAUUCCCUGCUCUUAUUGUUUAUUCCCUCCUCUUAUUGUUUAUUCCCUCCUCUUAUUGUUUAUUCCCUCCUCUUAUUGUUUAUUCCCUGCUCUUAUUGUUUAUUCCCUGUUCAUAUUGUUUAUUCCCUCCUCUUAUUGUUUAUUCCCUCCUCUUAUUGUUUAUUCCCUCCUCUUAUUGUUUAUUCCCCCUUCUUAUUGUUUAUUCCCUCCUCUUAUUGUUUAUUCCCUGUUCUUAUUGUUUAUUCCCUCCUCUUAUUGUUUAUUCCCUGUUCUUAUUGUUUAUUCCCUGUUCUUAUUGUUUAUUCCCUGUUCUUAUUGUUUAUUCCCUCCUCUUGUUGUUUAGUCCCUCCUCUUGUUGUUUAUUCCCUCCUCUUGUUGUUUAUUCCCUCCUCUUGUUGUUUAUUCCCUGCUCUUAUUGUUUAUUCCCUCCUCUUGUUGUUUAGUCCCUCCUCUUGUUGUUUAUUUCCUCCUCUUGUUGUUUAUUCCCUGCUCUUGUUGUUUAUUCCCUGUUCACAUUGUUUAUUCCCUGCUCUUACAUGGUGUGUUGAUAAACUCAAGCCAGCAGUAUUAACUAAAAAGCAGGCCCUAAUUUGCAUUUAG
rnacentral:lncRNA from 1 species